UACAGAGGCCCCAAGCGUUAUCCGGAAUCAUUGGGCGUAAAGGGUGUGUAGGUGGUCGCGUUAGUCUCUUGUUAAAACCCGGGGCUCAACUGUCUGCGGAGAUACGGCGCGACUAGAGAGUGCGAGAGGCAUGCGGAACUCAUAGUGUAGGGGUGAAAUCCGUUGAUAUUAUGGGGAACACCGAAAGCGAAGGCAGCAUGCUGCGCAUUUCUGACACUCAAACACGAAAGCGUGGGUAGCGAAUGGG
rnacentral:rRNA from 1 species